GGAACGUCCAGCGCCCAACAAAGGGCACAACACAACCCUUGGCCGUUGUGUUUGCAUGCUCUUCACCUUGUUCCUGCCCUCGCCUUUCACUCUUAUUAUCCCCCCGAUACCCCGAUCAUUCCUGACACCUCCUGAGUUCCUGGAUUUCAUCAUCCAGCCCUGCAGGAUGCUCCCCUUUGUUCUGGGGAAGGCUGUCCCAGACAGAGAGGAGGAGAUGGAGGUGAAUACAGAGAUUGAUAGAGAGGAGGACAUGGAGACAGAGGGAGAAGACCCUGGAGAGGAAGAGAUGGAGGUGGAGGUGAAGGUGGAAGAGGAGAUGGAUGUGGAUAUGGAAGAGUCCAUUGUGGACAUGGAUAUUGAUUAAGAAGGUGCGAUGGACAGCACAGACAGAGACACCAACCUUUGUAUGUAUGUUCUACAGUUUGUUGUUGUUCUUUAGAAUGUAGAUUGUAGUGCUAUUUUUGACAUCUGUAAAUACGUUUCCCAUAGUUUUGCUAGGUAGGUUUUUAUGUAUAUAUGUUCUAUCGAUUGUUGUUGUUACAAAUAUUCUUACAAUGUAAAUGUAUUCUGCAUUUUUGCUGCUGUUUUUCUGUAAUAAACAAAUUUUACUUUUCA